rnacentral:rRNA from 1 species
UACACUCCUACGGGAGGCAGCAGUAGGGAAUCUUCCACAAUGGGUGCAAACCUGAUGGAGCAAUGCCGCGUGAGUGAAGAAGGUCUUCGGAUCGUAAAGCUCUGUUGUUAGAGAAGAACACGUGCUAGGUAACUACUAGCGCCUUGACGGUAUCUAACCAGAAAGUCACGGCUAACUACGUGCCAGCAGCCGCGGUAAUACGUAGGUGACAAGCGUUGUCCGGAUUUAUUGGGCGUAAAGGGAGCGCAGGCGGUCUGUUUAGUCUAAUGUGAAAGCCCACGGCUUAACCGUGGAACGGCAUUGGAAACUGACAGACUUGAAUGUAGAAGAGGAAAAUGGAAUUCCAAGUGUAGCGGUGGAAUGCGUAGAUAUUUGGAGGAACACCAGUGGCGAAGGCGAUUUUCUGGUCUAACAUUGACGCUGAGGCUCGAAAGCGUGGGGAGCGAACAGGAUUAGAUACCCUUGUAGUCCCA